rnacentral:miRNA from 1 species
CUGUGGGCUCAGCGCGUGGGG